rnacentral:rRNA from 1 species
AAAUAUUUAUAGGACAAAGAUGGGCAUGCGGAACAUUAGCUAGUUGGUAAGGUAACGGCUUACCAAGGCAACGAUGUUUAGGGGAUCUGAGAGGAUGACCCCCCACACUGGUACUGAGACACGGACCAGACUCCUACGGGAGGCAGCAGUAAGGAAUAUUGGUCAAUGGGCGGAAGCCUGAACCAGCCAUGCCGCGUGCAGGAAGACGGCCCUACGGGUUGUAAACUGCUUUUGUACGGGAAUAAACCCACCUACGUGUAGGUGGCUGAAUGUACUGUAAGAAUAAGGAUCGGCUAACUCCGUGCCAGCAGCCGCGGUAAUACGGAGGAUCCAAGCGUUAUCCGGAUUUAUUGGGUUUAAAGGGUGCGUAGGCGGUUUAUUAAGUCAGGGGUGAAAGACGGCAGCUUAACUGUCGCAGUGCCUUUGAUACUGAUGAACUUGAAUGUACUAGAAGUAGGCGGAAUGUGACAAGUAGCGGUGAAAUGCAUAGAUAUGUCACAGAACACCGAUUGCGAAGGCAGCUUACUAUGGUAUUAUGA